GAUGAACGCUGGCGGCGUGCCUAAUACAUGCAAGUCGAGCGAACGGACGAGAAGCUUGCUUCUCUGAUGUUAGCGGCGGACGGGUGAGUAACACGUGGAUAACCUACCUAUAAGACUGGGAUAACUUCGGGAAACCGGAGCUAAUACCGGAUAAUAUUUUGAACCGCAUGGUUCAAAAGUGAAAGACGGUCUUGCUGUCACUUAUAGAUGGAUCCGCGCUGCAUUAGCUAGUUGGUAAGGUAACGGCUUACCAAGGCAACGAUGCAUAGCCGACCUGAGAGGGUGAUCGCCCACACUGGAACUGAGACAGGGUCCAGACUCCUACGGGAGGCAGCAGUAGGGAAUCUUCCGCAAUGGGCGAAAGCCUGACGGAGCAACGCCGCGUGAGUGAUGAAGGUCUUCGGAUCGUAAAACUCUGUUAUUAGGGAAGAACAUAUGUGUAAGUAACUGUGCACAGCUUGACGGUACCUAAUCAGAAAGCCACGGCUAACUACGUG
rnacentral:rRNA from 1 species